rnacentral:lncRNA from 1 species
CCGAGUGGAACAUGUGUUGGUUGAGUUAUUGUUUUCCAUAAGGGUUGUUUGAUAAGCCAUGCUAGUAAGUGACUGUGAGUCCUAUGUUUUCUUACGUACUCAAUGGCUAAUGAUUCGAGGAAGUCCUACGUUGGUGUCUAGGCCUUGUUUUAAUGAACAAGAAAGUCCUCGUUGGUGUGUGGACCCAGUUUUUGUGAAUCGAAAAGUCUUGGGUUGGUGCGUAGGCCCUGUUUAGGUGAACAAGUCAUGUAUGCUGGAGUACGGAAUAAGACAUAUGACGAUAGUGAAUGGGAGUGGUGGCAUGUUUGUUUGGGUUGAAGUUGGAUUAGCAAUGUGUUAUUGUGUUCUGAAUUUGAUUUAAGUAAGAACGUUUUGAGCCUAUAGCAUAAUUGAUAAUUGUAUUAUUAUGAUUAUAUCAUUAUCUGUGAUUUAAUUGUUGAUUCUUUUAGCUCACUCUUGCAU